UACAGAGGUCCCAAGCGUUGUUCGGAUUCAUUGGGCGUAAAGGGUGCGUAGGCGGCGCGGUAAGUCGGGUGUGAAAUCUCGGGGCUUAACUCCGAAACUGCAUUCGAUACUGCCGUGCUUGAGGACUGGAGAGGAGACUGGAAUUUACGGUGUAGCGGUGAAAUGCGUAGAUAUCGUAAGGAAGACCAGUGGCGAAGGCGGCCAUCUGGACCGGAACUGACGCUGAGGCGCGAAAGCCAGGGGAGCGAAUGGG
rnacentral:rRNA from 1 species